GCUAUCGUGUCUGGCCUUUGGCGGUGUGCAGUCGUCAUUAUUUGUUUUGGGCACAUCGUGUCUGAGCUCGUCUUGCGUUUGAAUUUUAAGGUCAUUUUUUAUGGCAAGCAGUUCUGGUUCAUCUCCUGGUCUUCGGUCUUCGUUACCUGUCUAAGGGUUGCAUCGCCACCUUUUAUGGUGGUAUUUUGUGUGUUUACUGUUGUCGUGUAUUCUACUUCAAACUCGUGGUACCAAGCUGGAGGAACUUGAGACGAGUUGAAAUUAGAGGAAUAGUUCCAGACUAGUUGACAUUUAAAUUUGAUGUUUUUAUUUUAUGUUGUAUUCAAAUAGUUGUGAUUCAUUUGCAAAUAUAGUAUAUUAAGAAUAUGUUGAACAAAUUGUAAACUAUAAUUUUAAAUGUAAUUUCCAUUGAGUUGAUGAUUUUUAUUUAUUAUUUGUUA